rnacentral:lncRNA from 1 species
CAGAACCCAGGGUGAGCAACAGAGGGAUGCGCUGGUGCCCCUGGGCUGGCUGCCUGCUCCUGAGGUCAGCGAGCUCUCUUGGACGGUGCUCCCAGGCAGCCAGCCUGGCUGGGCAGUGAGGGGCUGCUGCCCUUGCAGCCUCAGACUUGGGAGCAGGGCAGCUGAGCUGGCCCAAGCAAGCUGAAAGGGUGGUCCAGAAUGGACCCUAAGUCACCAAACUGUGUGGGUGACCCCAGGCCCGGGAAGUGCAACAGGUUGUGAGCAGCCUCCUUUCUUCCUGUAGCUUCCCUGCUUGGCUUUGAGGUAGGGAUUGGGCAACCCCCAGGGAGCCCCUGACCUUGUGGGUGGGUGGACAUGGGUCCUGGGGCUGCCCAGCACUGCUUGAUGACCUCCUCCCAGCAGCAGCCAGGUGGCACUGUGUCUGGCCACGCUGAGUGUCUUGCUGGAUGCAAAACUUCAUCUUCACAAAAACUUACUGAGAGGAAACUCAGACGUCCUAAAAUUCACCUGUGUAAAGGCCAUGGAUCAGUGGGUUCAGAGCAAGUGUAAAGUGGGGUCAGCACCCCUGAAAUUGAUUUGUUCACCCCAAAGAGACCCCAUAUUCACACACAGCCGCUCUCUACUCCCCCGAGCCCCCUCGUCCUAGCCCACCUCCGUCCUCCUCGGAGUGAACUGGUGGGUCCUGUAAGAGGACUCCUGCGACGUGUGGUCCUGGGGUCUCUGGCUUCUUGCACCCAGCGUGAUGUUUCCCAGGUUUAUCCAUGAAACCUGUGGCCGUGUGUGUCAGGAUGUCCCCCUUUCAUUGCUGAUAACCUCUGUUACUGAUGCUCACAUGAGUGAUGCUGGCCUUGUCCAUUCAGUUGCCAUCAGCUGGGGGCAUCUGGUUGUCUCUAAUUUUCAGCUUUUGUGAAUAAUGUGGUCACUAAGAUUCACAAAUGGGUGUUGG